GUGCUUGCUUUGGCAGCACCUACACUAACACUGGAACGAUACACAGAAGAUUAGCACAGCCCCUGCACAAGGACGACACGCAAAUUCGUGCAGUGUUCCAUAUUUGG